ACCAGUGUGGCCUAGUGCUUUGAGUGUUGGACUACAACUCUGGAGGCCAGGGUUCGAUUCCCCACUCGCC
rnacentral:tRNA from 1 species